rnacentral:rRNA from 1 species
UUAAGUCAGGCAACAAGCGAGACCCCUGCUUCUAGUUGCUACUUUCAUUCUUCGGAGUGGAAGGGCUAAUUAGAAGGACUGCCGCCGCUAAGGCGGAGGAAGGAGGGGGCUACGGCAGGUCAGUAUGCCCCGAAACCCUGGGGCUACACGCGGGCUGCAAUGAUAGGGACAACGGGUUCCGAACUCGAAAGAGGGAGGCAAUCCUUAAACUCUAUCUCAGUUAUGAUUGAGGGCUGCAACUCGCCCUCAUGAAUAUGGAAUCCCUAGUAACCGCGCGUCAUAACCGCGCAGUGAAUACGUCCCUGCUCCUUGCACA